rnacentral:rRNA from 1 species
GAUGAACGCUGGCGGCGUGCCUAAUACAUGCAAGUCGAGCGAACAGACGAGGAGCUUGCUCCUCUGACGUUAGCGGCGGACGGGUGAGUAACACGUGGAUGACCUACCUAUAAGACUGGGAUAACUUCGGGAAACCGGAGCUAAUACCGGAUAAUAUAUUGAACCGCAUGGUUCAAUAGUGAAAGACGGUUUUGCUGUCACUUAUAGAUGGAUCCGCGCCGCAUUAGCUAGUUGGUAAGGUAACGGCUUACCAAGGCAACGAUGCGUAGCCGACCUGAGAGAGUGAUCGGCCACACUGGAACUGGAACGCGGUCCAGACUCCUGCGGGAGGCAGCAGUAGGGUAUCUUCCGCAAUGGGCGAAAGCCUGACGGAGCAAGGCCGCGUGAGUGAUGACGGUCUUCGGAUCGUAAAACUCUGUUAUUAGGGAAGAACAAAUGUGUAAGUAACUAUGCACGUCUUGACGGUACCUAAUCAGAAAGCCACGGCUAACUACGUG